ACAAAUGAACCUAUGUCUAAAUAGUUCUACACAAAAUUUCCCUCUCCUAAUUCAAUCCAUACAAAUAUACAACACAUUAUUCUCUCCUCUACCAAUAAUAUGUUGAUACUUGGUAGGGAGGACCUGUGUUCGAUCUCCCGUAACAAUAAUUGAGAAAGGACUGAAAUCUAACCACCCAAACUGAUCCCGAAUCCAGAUUAGCCCAAAAAGGUGAACCGGAUGGAACACCAAAAUAAAAUUGUUCCCUCCUCUCCUCUUAAUAUUUUUGUUCUUCAUUGAAGCAGUUUUUGAGCUUUCCCUCCGCCAAUUAAGCGGUUGCUCAAGCAUGUAUGUGGCAGUUUCAACGGUGGCGGCAAUCCAAAAUCAGUCUUAGACUGAGCUUCUUGGGGUCAGGGGUCAGCUUUUUUUCUCCUCCUCCCCUCCUCCUUUAUUUUUAUUUGUGUUUUAUCAUUGAUUUACAAUAUUUAAUUGUUUGUUCUAUUUUGUUCUGUUUUUGUUUUGUUUCUGGAGACUGGAGUAUUAUGGGGAUGUGGGAUUAUAGAGAUUGAGUAUGUUCAGCACGAUUCGAUUUUUUAAUUUUUUUGUUGUAAUUAUCGAAUAUCAAUUUCGCAACCUAAGCUUCAUUGUAUAAUAUACUUAUGAAUGUAAUCAAUUUAGGUGAAACAUUGCACUAUAAUUAAAUUAGUGAAGUUAUAUCAGAUGAACCGAGUGCUUUCCAAAUUUCAAUACUUUACAGCAAUAUUUAAUUCGGUCUUUGUAGCCUAAUUUGAUAGUUGAGUCAGUUUAAGAUAUUUUCUAAGAUGGAUUAAUGAGCAAAUGAGCAAUUACUAAAAUUGCUAUAUUGUACGAGUGAUUUUUGUAAUAUUCCUAACGGAAACGAAUUGCAUGUGAUUUGAGAGUUGAGGUCUACAAGGCUACAAAAAACCCCAUUUGUUUUUGUUAAUUAAGCAAAUUUUAAAUAGUUUCUUUACUUUGAAUCUUGGUAUUAAUUUAAGGGCUAAUUCAAGCAAACUAUAUGAAUGUUACAUUAGAGGUUCCUAAAAAAUGAAAAAAAAGUUACAUUGAAGUCCUGGAAAACCCCAUAUGUUUCUCUUAAAUAUUUCCUUCCUUAGCUUUGGUUUUCUCUGUUGGGAGAAAAGCAUCUACAAGCUAACUAAUUUAGGAAUUCUUAAAAUGCGACAUCUACAUUAAAACUCAUUAACAAACUUCUUGAUAUGGUGUGUUAGCUUCAUCUUGCAUUUUGAGGUUGGAAGAAGAUAAACCAGUUUGAUUAUGAGGUAUGCAUAUUUCAAUUACAUUAUCCCUCUAUUUUGAUAAUUUAUAGACUAUUGAAUAAUUUAGAGUAUGAGACAGUUUUUCAUGUUUGCUUUGCUUAAUUGAUAAAGGUGAAGGUGUAAAUAGGUGAAGGUGUUUGGUUAAGUAAAGCAAAGUAAUUAGAAGCAAAUUAAAACUCGGUAAAGAGGAAAUCCAAACAGUUAUUCCUUGGUGACGUUUGGCUUAUAUAGCAAAACAAUACACUAAGUGACUUGAAGUGACGGUUAAGUCGGUUUUUCCUUGCAAUGUUUGGCUUGGUUUUUUGUCAGUCACUUGGUGACUUUUGGCCAGUCACUUAGUGAUUUUUGGCAUGAUUAAAAAGCUUCUAUAAAUAUGUUAAUUAACAUAUGAUGAGGGGAGGAAGGAAAAUGGGGUCAGUUACUUUCGUAACUAUCAUAUUCUCAUUUAUAUUAGUUUUGCUUGUUUUAAUUAUCAUCAUCAUAAAUUAUCCAAAGUUUGAUUGCAUUAGAUCACAAACAUACUACACACUAUUGUGAUUGUCUUCGUUGUAUCUCCUAGUAAUUUCGUGAUACCCGGUGUGUAAAUUAAGGGUCGAAAUAUUACUUUGGGAAACUAAUUUCGUUCAGGCCUCGAAGUAUUAAUUUGUCCAAUUUCGUGUCAUUUUUGUGACCCGGUAAACCAAUUUUCCCAACAUAGACAACUUUUAUCAUUAAGAUGAGGCAUGUUUUAUUAUCUACAAUUAUUCUUAAAGUUUAUAUUGAGAUAAAUAUUAUAAAUCUCAUAUGACUGCUUUUCUUUGUGUAUAAAUCACAUACAUUAGUCAAAGAGAAACAUAUAGAUAUGGUGAAAGUACAAUGUUGCUUAUUUUGCUAGAUUUUUGUAAAAUAUUACGAUCAUAGGUUUGGGGAUUUAGAGAAUUAAGUUUUGAGCUUCUGAAUUGUUGAUUUGCUGAAUUUUUGAUGUCAUAGGUUUAGUUUUUGUUAAUGGCAUUUGGCAAAAUUGGAUUUUAAUAAGUAUGGAAGCCAUCGAUUUAUGCUUACCCAGCAUAAAUUUGUCAACUUUACUAGCUAAACCUGCAUUUCCAAGCCUAAAUUUGAGACCUUUUGAUCCAUCAUUGCUUAGAAAGUCUAGAAUGUGUUGGAAUCGUUUGCAAGGCUUACAAAAUAUUGCAUCAUAUGAGAACAAUAAGUUGGGUUGAUUGUGUGUUGUGAAUAAUGAAUUGGGUCUAUGGAUGACGAAUCGAAUCUGGGGAAUGAGGGGUCUAUGGAUGACGAAUCGAAUCUGGUGAAUAAUAAAUUGUUGGAUUUUUCUUUUGUUUGGUGCUUUUAUAGGAAGUUAAUUUAAUCAAUGUUAUUUUGUGCUGACUGCUGAGUUUGAGUUAAUUUGAUUAUGUUAUUAGAAUUUAUAGUAUGUAAUAUGCUCAUUUAUUUUGGACUUGAUGUUUUCGACAUUGAUGUGUUUUGUUGUGCGGGAUAUACAACAAGUGAGAACGGACACAAGCCGGAGGAGGAGAAUGGGAAUGCUAUGGUGGAUGCCAAAACCGAGGUAGUGGUUGAGAGUAUUGAAGCGUCUGUUGAUGAUCAGGCACGUGGUGAGGAAGGCAAUAAAGAGGUGGUUCCUCAAGAAGUCAAGAGGUUACUGAAACUGAACCUGUGGUUACUGAGGGUGAGGAGAAAAUUGAUGCCAAAUAUGGUGAUUCGGAAGAGAGGGAUGCUGAGAUACCUUCAUCUGAUAAUGCUCCGCUGAAAGGUGCGGAAACGACUGCCACUGAAGGUGCAGAACAAGGUGAUGUUGUGACUUAGCAACAAUAUCCUGAUUCUGGUAAUAAAAGCAUGACUUGGAGGAUUGAAAUUCCGAAUUAUAAGGUUGAAGUUCUUAUUGGAAAAUAUGGAGAUAUGAUAAAGUAUCUACAGCUGAAUUCAAGGGCCAUGAUUCAAAUCACAAGAGAUGUCGAAGCUGAUCCACGAUUUGCAACUAAGCCGGUUGAACUUGAGGAGACACUUUAAAGUUUAAACAAGGCCGAGAGUCUGAUAAAGGAUGAGUCUAAAAUCCAUUGAAGAAUCUAAAUUUUGGGAGAAAAUGGUUACCAAGUAUGACUUGGCAGAAAUGAAGUGAUUAGAGAGUCUCAAUUACCAAGAAGUGGUUAUUCUUACAGGUCAAGGAUUUCAAGCGCUCGAGUUAGAUUUUCUGGAAAAUUGGUGGAUUGGUUGUUUGCUGAUUGUUUUUUAUUAUUCAUUCUUUGAAAAUUUCAGUCAUUGUUGCUUAACGGUUGAAAGAUAACAAAUUAGGAAAAAGGGAAAUGCAUUUAACAAACAAGUUGACUUUGGUGUAGAAUGAAAUUGGAAUAUAAACUAAGGUCAGAUUUUUGUC